CUAUACCUGGGAUGAUGGAUACUGUCUUGAACCUUGGAUUCAAUGAUGAAGUCGUUACUGGUUUGGCUGCCAAAAGUGGAGAAAGGUUCGCAAGAUUCACCCUACUUUUAACUUGUAGGAGCUUUGCAAGAGGAAUCAACUAAAUCGAGAAAAACAAAAGAUUCCUCAUACCGGGGGUGCUAAGAGUUUGGCUAGGUUCAGGGAUGAUUUGGUAGUUUUAUUCAUUGUGCUUAGUGAUGCAUGCUUUGGAUAAUUGAUUCCUCUCUACUCUCCGGAGUAGGGGUAAGAAGAAAAAAGGGGAUAUCUGUCGAUUGAGGCAAUUUUGGAUUGAGACGCAUAAAAGGAAAAUAGAUGGGAAUUACGUGAAUGAUGAGGCCAGAGAAAUCGGAGAGAAAAUUGAAGAGCAUAGACGUCAAAUACCAGAAUGUAAUGCAGAAAUUUCUCCAAAUGAUGCAGUUGGUAUUGCCUUUGGUCCGGAGUGCGACGGUCGUGUUCGAACGUUAGGCUUGGCUGUAGUUUCUACUGUAGCGUUCAAGAAAACAUCGACAAGAGUUGGUCGUGUGGUGCUCCACCUUCGGUAAAUCCUCAUCAAAAGUGUGAACAAGAAAUGGCUACUAUGAGAGCACAAGUAAAUGCACUACUUAGUUUGUAUCUAAUGAACACAGGGAACAUUCCGGAGGAGUUUGUUCACCUAUUUCCGAAUCUUCCUUCACAGGGACAAGAUUUAGGAAGUGGUGCUCUCUCACCAAAUGAGAAUAGAGGAUCUUUUGAUAGAAGUAACAAGGGAAAGUAACAAUGGAGAUGGAGAUGGAAGCAACUAGUAAUCAAUAUUAAGAUCAUCAAUGUUUGUUUUUGGGUAUUGUAAUUGAAAAGUUCGUUGAAACUGUGAUACAUUUG